CGUAGGUAACCUGCCCCGGANCGGGGGAGUAACAUUUGGAACAGAUGCUAAUACCGCAUAACAAUAAAAGACCGCAUGGCUUUUAUUUGAAAGAUGGCUUUGGCUAUCACUCUGGGAUGGACCUGCGGUGCAUUAGCUAGUUGGUAAGGUAACGGCUUACCAAGGCGAUGAUGCAUAGCCGAGUUGAGAGACUGAUCGGCCACAAUGGAACUGAGACACGGUCCAUACUCCUACGGGAGGCAGCAG
rnacentral:rRNA from 1 species